GAUGAACGCUGGCGGCGUGCCUAAUACAUGCAAGUCGAGCGAACAGACGAGGAGCUUGCUCCUCUGACGUUAGCGGCGGACGGGUGAGUAACACGUGGAUAACCUACCUAUAAGACUGGGAUAACUUCGGGAAACCGGAGCUAAUACCGGAUAAUAUAUUGAACCGCAUGGUUCAAUAGUGAAAGACGGUUUUGCUGUCACUUAUAGAUGGAUCCGCGCCGCAUUAGCUAGUUGGUAAGGUGACGGCUUACCAAGGCAACGAUGCGUAGCCGACCUGAGAGGGUGAUCGGCCACACUGGAACUGAGACACGGUCCAGACUCCUACGGGAGGCAGCAGUAGGGAAUCUUCCGCAAUGGGCGAAAGCCUGACGGAGCAACGCCGCGUGAGUGAUGAAGGUCUUCGGAUCGUAAAACUCUGCUAUUAGGGAAGAACAAAUGUGUAAGUAACUAUGCACGUCUUGACGGUACCUAAUCAGAAAGCCACGGCUAACUACGUG
rnacentral:rRNA from 1 species